UUCUUCUUAACAUACACGGAUCUGUGCUCUGCGGUCCCCUGCGUUCACGCGUCAGGGUCGACUGCUUUGCAGCUCGAUAACUCUAUGGAGCCAUCAACUUGCUAUGGUGUCAAUCAUCCUAUCGACAGGUCCAAGAAGAAUUCGACCUCUGGCUGCCUCAUUCGCUGUCGCAAGACGGCUUGAGUGUUGUGGCUGGAGGACCCGGGGGCCCCAUAUUCCGAACCUUUCACCAAGGCCGUCGGCCGAUGAAGUUGAGGAAAACCAUGGGAUGCCUACAUCU
rfam:Trichoderma gamsii strain T6085 Scaffolds0052.1, whole genome shotgun sequence.